UGUCUAAGUACAUGCCGUAUUAAGGCGAAACCGCGAAUGGCUCAUUAAAUCAGUUAUGGUUCCUUGGAUCGUACCUAACUACUUGGAUAACUGUGGCAAUUCUAGAGCUAAUACAUGCAGCAGAGCUCCGACCCUCGGGGACGAGCGCUUUUAUUAGACCAAAACCAAUCGGGCCUCGUGUCCGUCAAACGUGGUGACUCUGUAUAACUUUGGGCUGAUCGCACGGGCUCGUCCCGGCGACGUAUCCUUCAAGUGUCGCCUUAUCAACUGUCGAUGGUAGGUUAUGCGCCUACCAUGGUCGUAACGGGUAACGGGGAAUCAGGGUUCGAUUCCGGAGAGGGCGCCUGAGAAACGGCGACCACAUCCAAGGAAGGCAGCAGGCGCGCAAAUUACCCACUCCCGGAACGGGGAGGUAGUGACGAAAAAUAGCGAUACGGGACUCUUUUGAGACCCCGUAAUUGGAAUGAGUACACUCUAAAUCCUUUAACGAGGACCCACUAGAGGACAAGUCAGGUGCCAGCACCCGCGGUAAUUCCUGUUCUAGUAGUGUAUAUUAAAGUUGUUGCGGUUAAAAAGCUCGUAGUUGGAUCUCAGUUCGAGUCGGGUGGUACCCUCAACCGGGUGCUACUGCCUGUUCUCAACACGGCCGGUUUCCCUGGAUGAUCUUCACCGGUUGUCUUGGGUGACCGGCAAGUUUACUUUGAAAAAAUUAGAGUGCUCAGAGCAGGCGUGACGCCUGAAUAAUGUUGCAUGGAAUAAUGGAAUAGGACCUCGGUUCUAUUUUGUUGGUUUUCGGAACACGAGGUAAUGAUUAAGAGGGACAGACGGGGGCAUUCGUAUUGCGACGCUAGAGGUGAAGGAAUUGACGGAAGGCCACCACCAGGCGUGGAGCCUGCGGCUUAAUUUGACUCAACACGGGAAAACUAACCCGGCCCGGACACAGGAAGGAUUGACAGAUUGAGAGCUCUUUCUUGAUUCUGUGGAAGGUGGUGCAUGGCGCUCUUAGCUCGUGGAGCGAUUUGUCUGGUUUACUCCGAUAACGAUCGAGAUCCCAGCCUGCUAAAUAGGCGCUCCGAUUCUUCUCGGUCGGACGCUCUUCUUAGAGGGAUAAGUGGCGUUUAGCCGCACGAAACGGGCAAUAGCAGGUCAGUGAUGCCCCAAGAUGUCCGGGGCCGCACGCGCGCUACAUUGAAGGAAUCAGCGUGUGCUUUCCCUGUCCGACAGGACUGGGUAACCCGUUGAAACUCCUUCGUGCUGGGGAUAGCGAUUUGCAAUUUCUCGCUUGAACGAGGAACGCCUAGUAAGCGCGAGUCAUCAAGCUCGUGCUGAUUAUGUCCCUGGCCUUUGUCCACACCGCCGUCGCCACUACCGAUUGAACGAUUUAGUGAGGGCAUCGGACUGGCGCUCGGAUUGGCCUUCGGUCGAGCCGCGUGCCGGAAAGAUGUCCAAACUUGACCGUUUAGAGGAAGUGAAAGUCGUAACAAGGUUUCC
rnacentral:rRNA from 1 species